rnacentral:rRNA from 2 species
AUCCGGGUUGCGGACAGUGUCUGGUGGGUAGUUUGACUGGGGCGGUCUCCUCCCAAAGCGUAACGGAGGAGCACGAAGGUUAGCUAAUCCUGGUCGGACAUCAGGAGGUUAGUGCAAAGGCAUAAGCUAGCUUGACUGCGAGAGUGACAGCUCGAGCAGGUGCGAAAGCAGGUCUUAGUGAUCCGGUGGUUCUGAAUGGAAGGGCCAUCGCUCAACGGAUAAAAGGUACUCCGGGGAUAACAGGCUGAUACCGCCCAAGAGUUCAUAUCGACGGCGGUGUUUGGCACCUCGAUGUCGGCUCAUCACAUCCUGGGGCUGAAGUAGGUCCCAAGGGUAUGGCUGUUCGCCAUUUAAAGUGGUACGCGAGCUGGGUUUAGAACGUCGUGAGACAGUUCGGUCCCUAUCUGCCGUGGGCGUUGGAAGAUUGAGAGGGGUUGCUCCUAGUACGAGAGGACCGGAGUGAACGCACCACUGGUGUACGGGUUGUGAUGCCAAUUGCAUUGCCCGGUAGCUAAGUGCGGAAGAGAUAACCGCUGAAAGCAUCUAAGCGGGAAACUUGCCUCGAGAUGAGUCUUCCCUGGGCACUAGAUGCCUCUGAAGGGCCGUUGAAGACGACGACGUAGAUAGGCUGGGUGUGUAAGCGUAGCGAUACGUUGAGCUAACCAGUACUAAUGACCCGAGAGGCUUAACCUUACAACACCGAAGGUGUUU